rfam:Chloroflexi bacterium RBG_16_47_49 RBG_16_scaffold_4820, whole genome shotgun sequence.
GGGUGGGUCCGGCGCGGCGGAAGCCUUCGAACCCUGUCAGGUCUGAGAAGAAGCAGCAGUAAGGAGGAUAUUCCGGGUGCCGCCGGGUAGCUUGCCCGGA